rnacentral:rRNA from 1 species
UACGAAGGUCCCGAGCGUUGUUCGGAAUCACUGGGCGUAAAGGGAGCGUAGGCGGCGCGGUAAGUCAGAUGUGAAAUCCCGGGGCUCAACCCCGGAACUGCAUCCGAUACUGCCGUGCUAGGAGGAUUGGAGAGGUAGCUGGAAUUCUUGGUGUAGCAGUGAAAUGCGUGGAGAUCAAGAGGAACACGUCGUGGCGAAAGCGAGCUACUGGACAAUUCCUGACGGCUGAGGCUACGAAGGCCAGGGUAGCGAAAGGG